rnacentral:tRNA from 1 species
GUGGGUGUAGCUCAGCCGGUAGAGCACUGGGUUGUGGUCCCAGGGGCCGCGGGUUCAAGUCCCGUCACUCACC